rnacentral:misc_RNA from 1 species
UUUUCUCUCACUUCUAGGUUUUACUUGGAAAAGUGGUUGUUAAAGGACAUGUGUAUCCAAUAAUGAAUCCAUACUGUCUGUUUGGAAGUGCUGACGGCUGUGAUAUAAUAGUUAAAGACACGAUUCCGACGCAUUUUCAAAUAGAGUUUAAUUCUGAGAAGCAGGCAUUCCUCAGAUGUUUCAAACCACUCUUACUCUUGAUGGACAAGUCGUCAGCGGUGUGGCCCUUCUUCCCGAUGCUGCGGUCAUAUUAAUAAAUGGAAAAGAAUUCCAAUUUCUAAAACAGGUUCAGCGAACAGAGAAAAGGAUAAAACCGGUGGAGGAAGCUCUGAGGUUCGUUUUAGGACAACAUGAUCCUGAAGAUAUAUGCGAAAAAUAUAUCAACGAUUUUAUAGGUCGAGGUGUUUUUGCCAAAAAACAAAAAAGAUCAGAAAUGGAAAAUUUCUUGCGGAAUACCAUGGCGUUUUAUCCAAAGCUGACGACGUGAAGGACAAAGAUACAAACUACACAUAUUUCUUUGACUUUAAUAGUGUCAAGUACUGCAUUGAUGCCUCAGAGGAAACAAAACUGUAUCAACCAUCGUUAGGACGGCUAGUAAAUCAUGCAGACAAAAAACAACAGAGAAAUUCAAGAAUAACAGUCAUUGGUGUGAAUGGGGUUCCUCAUCUUGUACUGUUUGCGACUAGAUUUGACUUGUAAUGAAAACUGCGACGAUGAGCCAGUUCAGCCUCCUGUAGAAUGCAGAGCGUGUGAUUACCAAAGGAAGGUCUGUAGUUCGAUUGGUCAUGAGAACAACAACAGUGGUGUAACAUCGGCUUCCAAACGCAAAGCAGAAUUUCCAGUACAAACAGGCAGAAAGAUCAAGGUCGUUCCUUGGACAGAGAAGCAGUUAGCGGCCAUGCGAAGGUCAUUCGCCAAAAAUAUCCGCUGCUUAAGAGUUCAUAACAAGGAGGAAUGCGGACGAGCAAGGAAAAAUGAGAGCCUGUUGCUUUCUCGUGACUGGAAGAACAUCAAAUUCCAUGACCAUCAUGAAAUACAAAGAUUAAAGAAAAAAUGAAGUCAGUCUAAAAAAAAGUUAACAGAAAAAGAACCAUCCUUUAAACUUGCAAUGAAAUCUAACGGACAUAUAUUUUCAAAAUGUAAAAAUGUUUAUGUGUGUUUUUUUUUUACAUAAAGUCUCCAGACACUCGUUCAUGUACAGUAUUGUUUUUGCUGGAUGUUCAUGUUAAGAGGUCAUGAAAUAUCGACAAAUUACUAUCACGGGUUCGUUCAUGAAACAAAUAAUAAACUGACUGAAAUAAAAGUAUUGUAGUUCUUCAA